AUGGAGGGGCACAGCAACCACCACUCACUCGGACCUCUCAGGGGUCCCAGCUCCAAUUCACCUGUAAAUGGCGGCUCCCAGGGGGGAGCGCACCAGCUCGGGGCCCCAUCGCAGCUUCCCCAUCUCACUCUCACCGGGAGCCCUGGGCCAGCCCCACCCUCUGCCACAGUGCCAUCCCCAGGGUGGGCCCAGUGGUCACUGCGCCAGCUCUUUAUUGUUGGAGGACAUGCAUUUCCUCCCCACACUGGGGACACAGACACACGGGGACACAGGCAUGCAUUCACAGAACAGCUUCCCCACACAGCAGGUGUGAGGCGGGGAGCUCUGCCCCUCAGAUCACCACAUGGGGGGGGUGAGGACGGCGACCCCAAGAAAGCCCGGCCCACGACAGGGGUCCCCGCAGGCCAGUUCCGCGCUCCCCAUUCUGCGGGCCCCUGGCCCGGCCAAGGUGGGCCCCGGGAACGUCCCCUCGGGCCGGGCCCCACUGCUCACCGCGCCGUUCAGGUCCGGCUCCGCGCUCCCUGCCGGCUCCGCGCCCGCGCCCCGCGCCAGCCUCGCGCAAACUCUCCGGCGGCGACGCUGGGUGGCGGUGGCGGCCCCGGCGACGGAGGGGGCGGGGGCGGGAACGGCGCGGGGGCGGAGGGGGGGAGCCGCAGGCGAGGGUCCGCGCCCGCGUCCCAGUUCUUCCGACGCACCGCGGGGACAACGGCGACGCCCGCACUCCUCCCCGCGGGGCUCCACUCCAGAUCCCCAACCUCAGACCUCGCUGUGCAGACCCCCACCCCUCCGAUCCCGGCCGGCAGACGGCUGUCCCAGCCCGGCUGGAGCCGCGGGUGGACAGCGAGGGCGUGUGAGUCAGCGCCCCUCCUGUCGCCCUCCACGGCCCGGUGUUGCGUCGAUUUGCUCGAAGGGCCGGCCCGCCACUUACUCCCCACCCCGCUACGCGGUGACACGUCCUUCCAGAGCCGCAGAGCAGGCCGCACUGGGGUGGUGGGCAGAUCAGGUCUCAGGGCCCUGGUCGCCGCGAAGCCCCCUCCAGUGCCGCUCACCCAGCAAACCCAGUGA
rnacentral:lncRNA from 1 species